rnacentral:rRNA from 1 species
CCUACGGGAGACAGCAGUGAGGAAUAUUGGUCAAUGGGCGCGAGCCUGAACCAGCCAAGUAGCGUGAAGGAUGACUGCCCUCCGGGUUGUAAACUCCGUUUAUAAAGGAGAAAAGUGAGGCACGUGUGUCUGUUUGUCUGUACUUUAUCAAUACAGAACGGCUAACUCCGUGCCAGCAGCCGCGGUAAUACGGAGGAUCCGAGCGUUAUCCGGAUUUAGUGGGUUUAAGGGGAGCGUAGAGGGGUUGUUAAGUCAGAUGUGAAAGUUUGCGGCUCAACCGUAAAAUUGCAAUUGAUACUGGCAGUCUUGAGUGCAGUUGAGGAAAGUGGAAUUCGUGGUGUAGCGGUGAAAUGCGUAGAUAUAAGGAGGAACACCAGUGGCGAAGGCGGCUUACUAGACUGUCACUGACGUUGAGGCUCGAAAGUGUGGGUAUCAAACAGGAUUAGAUACCCUAGUAGUC